AUGGGAAUCAAAGCGCCGGAACUGUGAAAAGCAGUUGACGAGGUGGAGGAGUAUCGAAGCAUUCGGCGGAUGCCUCCCGGUGGAACCUGCCACUGUUACGCCUUUCCACAAAACAUCCGGGCGACCGGAUGGACAAAAGGAAGGCACAGGAGGGA
rnacentral:ncRNA from 2 species